GUCCAUGCCGUAAACGAUGUCUACUAGCCGUUGGGGGAUUUGAUCCUUUAGUGGCGCAGCUAACGCGAUAAGUAGACCGCCUGGGGAGUACGGUCGCAAGACUAAAACUCAAAUGAAUUGACGGGGGCCCGCACAAGCGGUGGAGCAUGUGGUUUAAUUCGAUGCAACGCGAAGAACCUUACCUGGCCUUGACAUAGUAGAGACUUUUCCAGAGAUGGAUUGGUGCCUUCGGGAAUCUACAUACAGGUGCUGCAUGGCUGUCGU
rnacentral:rRNA from 1 species